rnacentral:lncRNA from 1 species
UAUAUUUUCUAUUAAUUGUUGAUUACUAUCAAGUACAGAAUAACCAACACUUAAUGUAUAAAUGGAGAAAACUCACAAAGAUGUGCAUGGAGCUGGAAAAAUCUGAAUUCAAAUCUGAGUCCGAUAUCUCAAAUUUUCAAGAGAGAUCGGAGCUGCCCAUUAAACAUUUUCCUUCAAUUUUCCGGCUUGAUAAUAUAAUUCCUGCUGACCAGACUGUGAUGGAUUCAAACAAUGCUCGCUGCCAGUUACAGUGUGUCCAAGAAUAUGGUGGCUAAACUUUUAACUCAAACAAUAUAUUUAUGUACAGAGUAAUUCAAAUGGUUGGGAAAAGAUGAAAGAGUAUGUAAAAGGCUAUUAUACACAAAAGUUCUUAGUCCAUUUUUUGAAAUUGGGGCUUCGUUAAUAAGGUAAUUGUUUUUCUUUUGGUAGAUUGGAUAUUGAAAGAAAUUUCUGGUUUUACUAUUGAAGAUAAAAUUUCAACCUU